AGGUUCACACUGACAAGAGAAGGAACCAGGGACGUUGACACAGCGAUGUUGGCAGUAUCUGUACCUGCACUCAUCGAUGUCUGACAGAGAGAAAUAAGAGUCAUGUGUCUUUGGAGCACAGAGCCAAGAAACGAACUACACAGACUGUGGGCCACAUUAUCUUGGCUCUUGUGAGGAGCCAAGUGUAGCGGGGAGAGCAGAGCAGAGCAGAGCAGAGCAGAGCAGACAGCAGAGCAGUGGUGCAGCUGUGACGUGUAUGGCCUGUACCAGAAAAGUGGGUAAGAGAAAUGGAGGAAAAACUCACAGAUGGAUCUUUUCCGGUGGGUCUUCCGUCCCUCAGUGUUGCUCUGACCAGUGUGUCCUCCUGCUGGCUGCGCUCGUCCCGGCUGAGUUGGCGUACAGAAGUGGUCCCUUAAACU